rnacentral:rRNA from 1 species
GAGGGGUAACAGGAUGUAGCAAUGCAUUGCUGACGACCGGCGCACGGGUGAGUAACGCGUAUGCAACCUGUCCGUUACAGGGGGAUAGCCCAUGGAAACGUGGAUUAACACUCCAUAAUAUAAUAUAGAGGCAUCUUUGUAUUAUUAAAUAUUUAUAGGUAACGGUUGGGCAUGCGUCCUAUUAGAUAGUUGGGGGGGUAACGGCCCACCAAGUCGAUGAUAGGUAGGGGUUCUGAGAGGAAGGUCCCCCACACUGGUACUGAGACACGGACCAGACUCCUACGGGAGGCAGCAGUGAGGAAUAUUGGUCAAUGGGCGAGAGCCUGAACCAGCCAAGUCGCGUGAGGGAUGACUGCCCUAUGGGUUGUAAACCUCUUUUGUAUGGGGGGAAUAAGCUUUACGAGUAGAGUGAUGACAGUACCAUACGAAUAAGCAUCGGCUAACUCCGUGCCAGCAGCCGCGGUAAUACGGAGGAUGCGAGCGUUAUCCGGAUUUAUUGGGUUUAAAGGGUGCGUAGGCG